UCACUGAUGGUGGCCAGACUGUUUCAACUUUCCGAACGGCUUGUUGCAAGUUGAGAGGAUCUUCGUUUUUCUCAUCAAAUAUACAAGAUCGAACAUUCAUAUGCUUCACUGAUCAUCCACUGCAUCGUACGAGUCAAAACUUCAUCCCGAAGGUGAACAGAAAUUUUAAGGUUAACAGAGGGUUUGCUCUGAAUUUCAAAAAUCGUGCAUGAAACGCCAUCUUCUGUAUGACAAAUGAAACGACGUGAGUUUCUCCAGCACCGCUGUUACCGACGUUGCGGACACGGCCGGAAGCUCAUAAAGGUAUACAUCGCUGCUGCGAUGAUAAUAAUAAUAAUGACAACGACGAGACGAAUGCGGAACGCGUAGCAAUCUCCGCCCCAGGAACGCCCUCGAGGAGGCUAUUGGCCCGAUAUCCCUUGCUCGGGAAAAGGCUGCCAUGGCCGGCGCGACCAGGCGAACGCGCCAAUCGGAGCGCACCCCCGGCAAAACAAAAGGGUUGAAUGUGAAAGGAAAAGGCGAGGAAUAUAUUUGCAGCGCAAUCGUAUUUCGCAUUGUCGGCACUGCGAGCCAGGUGAAGAUCACAUCGUGAUUCACACGACGUCCCGAUGGUACCCGCAUUGACAUUAUCUGUCAUCGGAGACGCUUCGAAUCGCUACUACCCACAAAAUGCGGAACAUUAUAUUUCUCGACGUCCAUCCCGACCGGAACAAUCGGGGCGAUUGUAUCUUCACGUUUCUAACGAUACUAUCAUCCCCUUGUCAAUCGGGAAAGUCCUCAUGGUGGCUGAUAAACAAAGAAGGAUCACCGGAGAAAAUAGCUACCCGUGGUAUAGGAGCGUCUAAUCCCGGAUGAGACGACGGCGGAUGUGCGACGACGACGGCAUCAGCGGGGAACAGCGACGGCGGAGGCGAAGGUAGAAGCGGGAGACGGCGCAGACACAUCUCUCGGAUUACGUCUUAACAAGCUCCACGACGUUCAUUUGUCUUAUCCGCUGCCACUAAUGCGACAGCAGCUGUUGAAAUGAUUAAUUCGGCGCGAGGACGGCGCGCCGCUUCGUUCCGCUCUAUCCGAGCGAAUCCGUUCUCAACUUAGUCGUCGCAGACGUGUCGCGGUUAAUCAGCGCAUUGCGGUUAAUCACCGCCGCUGCAAAAUACAAAGCCGAACGAAUAGCUUCGUUCAGCACACGUAAAUAAGAUCUGCUGAACGAAGCAGGAAAGCAUAGCUGAAGAUGUUAAUAGCAUUCGAAUCUAACUGGAAAUGCGACGCGUAAGAUUGAUCUAACAAUAAUCCACAUGCUUCAAUAGAUAAAGAAUUAUUUCUGAAGAGUCUAGAUUCCACACAUACUUAUUAUUGCUAUUUUAUACUAUGCAAGUUGAAUUAGUAGGCUCCAGUUUGAAUCGAGCUCAAUUUGGCAUGUGCGUUUGAAGAAAACUAAUCCAAUCCGAUUGUUUCAAUUUAAACUGGUAUUUUAUGACAAGUGCGUAAUCGUCACUAGAUUCAGUACGCAUAUUGCGCCAUACGAUCGCUCAUCAUUGUUCAUAGGAGGAGAAACCCUACAUUCGCCACUCACACCCUGUCCAAACAGACAGAGCAUUCUCGCGUCCACGCGCACGCGAUCUGAUUGGAUUAAUUUUCAAUUUGCAAAGGCCACCUGUCGUCGACAGCGGCGGUGUGCAGAUCGUUGAUCGCGUCCAUCGAUCGAUGACUAAUCCGCGAGAACGAGAACCCGCGCGAUUCCUAACUGCACCGAGCGGAGUCGAUUAGGGUUGCGCGACGCGACAAUUGUGCCUCAUCGCGCGGAUAUAGAGUUACAGGCGCGCGUACGGAGAAAAUGAGCGGCGAAUAUUAAGCCAGCACACAUUGCAAAAUGGCCGACACAGCACGGACGAGAAAAAAAUAGGGACGCACUCAUCUCUCUUUCUCUCGCCGUGCGAGCGGAGGAGACGCGUGAUGAACACUCGCUCCAUUCCGCUUGCUCCGCUCGUCGGGUUACGACGUGACACGGGUCGAAAUUCUGCCGCGUUAGAGGCGCAUGUGCGACGCACGCCGAUCGAAAGCCCCGCCCGACAACUGCCUUUGUUUAAUCCAUGCGGUAUCUACGCCCACGAUAACACAGUGAUGUAACUUAAGAUCUCACAAAAGAAAACUCACAAAAAUUUUUUAAAAGUAGAAUUCAUGAAUAAGUAUAAAAAUUAAUUAUGAGUAGA